rnacentral:sRNA from 1 species
UCCGAGUGCAAGGUGUUUCCAAAUUAUUGAUCACAACCAGUCACAGAUUCCUUUGUUCCUUCUCUACUCUCACUGCUUCAGUUGA